CGGGGUGAGUAACGCGUGGAUAACCUGCCUCACACUGGGGGAUAACAGUUAGAAAUGACUGCUAAUACCGCAUAAGCGCACAGUACCGCAUGGUACAGCGUGAAAAACUCCGGUGGUGUGAGAUGGAUCCGCGUCUGAUUAGCCAGUUGGCGGGGUAACGGCCCACCAAAGCGACGAUCAGUAGCCGACCUGAGAGGGUGACCGGCCACAUUGGGACUGAGACACGGCCCAA
rnacentral:rRNA from 1 species